UAUGGGCUCAUUUGGCUCCCUCUAGUCCUCACUUUCCUUCUCCAUGGUUUCUGCGGGGCCCCUCUACCCCUGACGUCUCCUCUCUGUAGUCUCUCGCGUGGUGGCGUCUGAGACCCGGGACCGAGAUGUGGCGGCUGCCGGGACUGCUGAGCCGAGCCCUUCACCGCCUCCAUGCGCUGAAUGCUUCAAGCUCUAUCCAUGGGAUCCCAACCCUUCCCAGCAAUGAGGAGCUCUGGAACGCCACCUCAGCACUCAGUGCUGGACAGACUCCAUCUGAACAGAGUUAUUUUCUCUCACCUGGCUGGCAGAGCGGACGGGGUCGAGAUGAUUGGGAGCAAGGGAAUGCGCAGCGACCCUUCUUGAACUUGCAGCCUCACUACACAGUCCUGGAUGCCUUCACCUGGGGCGCACUAGCUGUGCUUGUUCUGCAGUUGGCCAGGCAGAUCCCAUGGCUGAGCCCCGUGCCAGGGGCAGGAAGAGAGGAUGGGCAUCCCCGUGUGGGUGGGCUCCUCUCUUCUCUGCUGCCCCAUCAGCACUCAGUGCCAGCUGCAGGCUCAUCCAGUUGCCACAGUAACCAAAAGGUGCCCUGCUUCCUGCUGGGAGGAAUUCCAGACGCUGCACCAGAGAAUCCAUCCCCUGGCAUCCCCUCAGGGCAAGGAAAGCCUCAGCGCUGCCCAGAAACAGGGGAGCGUCCAUUCCCUGAGAGCUGCAGCACCAGCCUGGGACCAGCCCACUGCAGUGCACAGGGGCUGUCAUUUUCCACUCUGCAGGGGAAGCCAGCACAGCAGGAAUGCCUGGAGGAAGCAGCUACCCAGCUGCAGGAGGUGUUCCGGGUCAGCGUUUCCACUGCGCUCAAUAUCCGUGGGAUUGAGAGUGUGAGUGAUGGCCACUACAGGGCAGCCUAUUCCUGCUUCAAGCUGGCAGCAGAUCGGGGCUACAGCAAAGCCCAGUUCAACGUGGGCCUGUGUUAUGAGCAUGGCAGAGGCACGGAGAAAGACCUGGCAAAGGCAGCUCUCUAUUACCAUCGUGCAGCCAGCAAUGGGCACCCCACGGCCCAGUACCGCUAUGCCAGGUUCCUCUUACGCCAUGGGCUCAACACUGAAGGGGCUGACAUGCAGAAGGCUGUGACUCUGCUGGAGCAGGCAGCAGCAGCAGGGCUAGUGGAGGCACAGGCCUACCUUGGGGUGCUCUACAUGAAGGGGCUGCAGUCUGCAAAGCAGAGGGCUCUGAAAUACCUGUGGCUGGCGGCCAAGAAUGGGGAUUCCCAUAGCAGAUACCUUGUUGGUGUUUGCUAUGAGAAGGGCCUUGGAGUACAACAGAACUUCGCAGAAGCAAUGGAGCAUUACCAGCACUCGGCUGCUGCAGGAAACAGACAUGCUCAGGAGAGAGUGCAAGUUGUUGAGCAGGAGAUGGCAGCUGCAGAGAGCAGCCAUCCAGCACCUUCUGGAAUGAGAGCGUUCUCCUCCAGCCCCUGCCUCUGGGUCCUGGAGCAACUAGCAGAGCAGCGCCAGGCCUCUCCGAUGGGAUGUCGUGCUUUACCCCUGCCCCAUUCCUGGAGCACAGGCAGCCUGGCAGGGGCUGACGUCAGCUGACUGAGAUGGAAUCCAGCCCCAGAACACUCGGCAAGUCUAUUGGAUUCUUCCCGCCUGGAGCCACAGCCAGUGCUCUAUUCUCAGGGGAUAGCACUUGGCUAGUAGGGUCCUCUGCUCUGCUCCCUUCCUCCUUACUGGUCAGCUGAUUUCCAGGCCAGGCUUCUAUCUAGCUGGGCUUCUUGCUCCCCCACCCCCUGGGCUGCACGCUGGACCCUGAUACACCUCAGCCUGGCUCCUGCCCCUGUGGGAAAGCUGGAGAACAUGAGGCAGCUGUGGGCAGUUCCCAGCCAGGGAUACAGAAACCACAGUGUCAGUCAUCUGGUGCAGCACCAUGGGGGAUGUGGGAGGAAAAUGCUGAAUUCUGAGGCAUCUUGGCAAAAUGUAUUAGUCCACAGCUGUGGAAUCAUAAAGCCCAUGAACUCUGAUUGAGAGGAACAGGACAGGUCUCACCUCUCCAAGCUGUACUUUCAGUCUCUCUGAAGACUCAGGCAGGCAUUACUGUAUUGGUUACACUUGAUCACAUUUAUGAGGCUUUUGUCACAACCAUAAAGGCUAAAAAUAUUUUAAUUUUAAAUAAAAUUGAAGGUUCUGGAGCCUGA